GUGCCAGCCGCGCGGUAAUACGUAGGUGGCAAGCGUUGUCCGGAAUUAUUGGGCGUAAAGGGCUCGCAGGCGGUUCCUUAAGUCUGAUGUGAAAGCCCCCGGCUCAACCGGGGAGGGUCAUUGGAAACUGGGGAACUUGAGUGCAGAAGAGGAGAGUGGAGUUCCACGUGUAGCGGUGAAAUGCGUAGAGAUGUGGAGGAACACCAGUGGCGAAGGCGACUCUCUGGUCUGUAACUGACGCUGAGGAGCGAAAGCGUGGGGAGCGAACAGGAUUAGAUACCCUUGUAGUCC
rnacentral:rRNA from 1 species